AUCUCAGGCUGUAUCAGCCUGAAGGCGCCCGUUCUCGUCUGAUCUCGGAAGCUAAACAGGGUCGGGCCUGGUUAGUAUCUUGGAUGGGAGACCACCUGGGAAUCCCGGGUGCUCGAGGCU
ensembl:rRNA 5S_rRNA 5S ribosomal RNA